rnacentral:lncRNA from 1 species
GACCUAAAGGAGGAAAAAGCUUCAGUUAGCUUCCCAAAGUCCCAUGUCAACUCAUUUGCUUCUUCUUCUUUUUUUUUUUUUUUUUUAGUUCCAUGACCUUAGUUCCAUGAUGUGAUCUGUUACAUGACCACACCAUGCUACAAGAAAACUGAGAAAUGUUCUCUUUUAUUCCAGGACAAAGUAUGCCCUGUUAAAAGUAUCAAGAUUUGUUUCUAAGGAGGAAGGGAAAAAAUGGAUGUUGGAGGAAGCAGGUGACAGUCUCUGCGACACUGGUAAGAAUGAUAGUACCCUGAUCAGAGCAUGUCAGGGCUGAUGGAAUAUUCGUGAGCCCUUAGUUCCAUCAUUUCAUUUUAAAGAUAAGUAAACUCUCAUCCAGGGAGAUAAUGGGGAUAUAUGAGGGAUUGCGUGGUGAAUCAGUGGCGGUGGCCAAAUAAAACUCAGAUCUCUGACUUCCAGGUGGGCCAGUGUACUUUCUGCCAAAUUCAUUUUCAUUCUAAUAAAUGACUUUGGGUUUUUGAAAAUCCCCUUUUAGAGAGAUAUUACCUAAGUCUUUAUAUCAAGGCUUCUAGUUCUCAUUUUGUCUCUUGCAUUGGUUAAUAGCUGGUCACUAGUCAACGUAGAACAUAUUUGCCAUUAUAAGUAGUGUUUGUAAUCACUAAUAGCCAUUUUACCAAAGGUAAUAAGUAUAAUCCUGUCAGCUGCUCCAUAAAUAUAAUUUUAAUACUCUUAAUUAUUUUUUUAAAAUUCUCUUUGGAGUCCCUUCCAUUAUUCUUUCAGUCUGAAAUUUAUCUUCUGAAGAUGUGGUUUGCCCUUCCCGAGGUUACAGCUUGUGGAAAUGUUACAGGCCCUGCCUUUGAUUAUUACCUUGCGACACAGAAAAAGCAGCGAUAAAACACUUUAAUUGAUGACACCUCCAUGGUAUUUGUUACACCUGCUAUAAAAUAAUUAGUUAUUCAACUAUAAUAACUGCUUAUUAAAGUGAAACGCAAUAAAUACUAGAAAAUCUGUAAGACA